AGAGACACAGCAAGUAUAGACAGCUCGGAAGACCUUGACCCCCACCCACCCCAAUCGACGUGUUUUCCUGGGCUUUACUCUUUGCUUCCGUUAGUCACUUUGGCCAAGGUUUCUCCUGCGUAGACGUCAGGAUGGCGAGGACAGAGGCCAGGAAGGAAGGAGAUGUGUCCCAGAAAGCUGAAGCCCCCUCCUGGGGCAGCCUUUUGGAAGGAGCUUCUGAUACCUAACCUGGAUCAUUCCUGCUGCAGUAUCAGCAGGUGUCAGCCGGGGAAGGAGAAGCCUUCUGUGAAUGACAGUCCUUCAGAUGACUAAAAACAGCUGAACUCUAUCCCAAGCAGAUAUAAGAGAGGUGGAGAUCAGGGUCUUGCUCUAUCAUCAAGACUGGAGUGCAGUAGUGUGAUCAUAGUUCACUGCAGCCUCAAACUCCUGGGCUCAAGCGAUCCUCCCGACUCACAACCUCCUGGAAUUUUUUGAUGGAGAGAAACUGAGUCCGAGGGAUGUCAACAUGCCAAGUCCAUGGAAAUAUCAGUGGGCUGGAAUUCUAGCUGCCUGAAAGAAGACAUUCCUCACACAAGACCUCACAAUCAUAUCCAUGGAAUUAUAGCACUGGGCUCUCCAGAUGGUGCUACAGGAAGACCUCCAGAAAUUUGACAAUCCUCUAUUCAAGGCCCUACCACAGAGACACACAGGAACGGAACUCAGAAUCACAAACAAAGAAACUUUGAUCCAAGAAAGAAAAUGAUCUUUAAAAAGACCCUCGUUUCAUGCUGGCCGAUGCUGAGAAAAUCUGCUCUGAAGGAUAUUUGGAGACACUGAUUAAAAGGUAGUACCAUCACCACAUAUUUAACUUCCCCCUCUUUUUCCUCUGCUUCUAGGAGUAGAGAAACCAACAAAACCAACCGGAGAGAGAUGGUUUCAAACAAUCUGUCCCCCACCCCACCACUAUUCACACCUUUCACAAGGGCCCAGCCACAAAGCCAGUGCAACAUGACAUCAAUCAUCAGCAAAGUGGAGAUGGUUGUCCCAGUGGAGGGGGAUUCUUCGUGUUACGUAGAUAGGAAGCACGAUGCAAAAGUGUUGAAGCAGGAGUGUAAAGAAUAAUUAAAACACCUGCCCAAGACCCAAGCAAGGAUAGGAUUUCCCAGACAUUCGUGAGGGAGAAAAUGCCAUGUCCUUUCCUUCUGGUGUCACAUCAGAAUCUGAAGGCUGCUAGAGAAGGGAGAGAAACAUGAAAGUGAGUCCCAUGCUGAUUGUUGUUGAAAUACCUGGAAAGAAACUGGCAAAGACUAUCCAAGGGAUGCUAAGACAUGUCCGAACUUACAAAACAGUAGAACCUGAAUAGGAAUUUGAAGUUGUCUAUACUCUCCUCAGCCACACCCUGCCAUUUUACAGAUUGUCUUCUCUGGGGAAGUUAGCUGUCAUGUUGUGAGGAUACUCAAGCAGUUUAUAAAGAGGUUCAUGUCGCAAGGAAUGGAGGCCUCCUGCCAACAGCCAUGUAAAGGAGCCAUCUAGGAAAUAGAUUCUCCAGCCCCAGUCAGACCUUCAGAUGAUUACAGCCCCUACCAACCUUCUGACUGCGGUGGAAGGAAGGUUCCGGAACCAGAACCACCCAGGAAACAUCUAUGAAGUGCCUACUUGUAUCUGAAUGAUGGCCUGGAACUAAGAAGACUAAAACAUGACUCGAACUUGAGAGACCACAGUCUGGUUAAUGUGGGUAAGUCUCAUCCAAUCCUUUGAAGGCCUGAAGAACAAAGAGUGAGGUUUCUGGAAGAAGAAAAUUUUACCUCAAGCCUGCAAUGUAGAAAUUCUGCUUGAGUUUCCCGCCUGCUGGCCUGCCCUGUGGAAUUCGGAGUCAAGAAGGAGUCUUGUAAGCAUUAACUGAGAUAGUAUAUGAAGAGUGCUUUUGCACCGAGUGAACCUUCAAUCAACUGUACUAGUUUGUAUGCCUGGAAGAGCUGCUAUAUGGGAUCAGAAAGAAAAAUAAGGUGCAUACGCCAGAAAAAAAAUACUUGCAUAUGAGUACUAGGAGAUGCAUGACAAUGUUCACGGCAGCAGUAUUCAUGGCAGUGAAAAAUGAAAAGAACUGAAAUGCCCAUUGAUAAAAACGUCUACUUAUUUGUGUCAUCUUUGCACAGUGGAAUUGUGCGAGUGGAAAUGAUUGAUCUACAGCUAGGAGAAGCAGCAGAGCUCAAUCUCAAAAACAUAACGUUGUGUGGAAAAAGCUAACCUCAGAACACUUUGCGGCUCUAUCUUAGCAAACCAGGAGAGAAAUUCUCCUGAUGGCCUUGAAGAAGCAAACAGCCACCUGGUUAAGCCCCUGUGGAUAGUGCCAAGUGGCAGGAAAGUGGGAGCCACCUCUAGGACCUGAGGAUUAAAGUCAGUAAGAGCUGGGACCUCACUCAUGCAGACUCGAGGACAUGAAUUCGACCAACAACUUGAAUGAGCUUGGAAGUGGAUUCUUCCCUAGUCCAGUCUUCAGGUGAGAAAGCAGCCUGUCCAACACCUUGUUUGCAGCCUGGUUGGAGCCUGAGCAGAGGAUCCAGAAAUUAAGAAUGUUCCCAAAGAAUGAUGGAGACAUUUCAAAAGGAUACGGAAGCCAGAUUGUGGGCGCUUCUACUGGCCAACUCUGGGACAUCGUGGACAUCAAAAUAAAUUUGUAAUAAUAAAGGAUUAUAGCCUAUUAGUUAAAUCAGAAAAAUCUGAUUUAACUAAAUGAGUAGGAGGAAAAGAAAGCUCUUCCUUAUAUUAGAAAGUCAAUUAAUAAAUGCAGAAAGGAAUGAAAAAAUUAGAAAAGCCACCAUUUGGCAACCAUGGCAGGCAGAAUGGGGAGUAUGCCUCCAGACAGUAAUUCCUUUCAAACUGGUUUAUAGGAACUCACUGAGCUUGCUGAUCGACCUCUGAGAGGCAAAGUUUCUGAAUUAUGAAGUACUGAUUAUAUAAACUUAGACAGAGACAUGCUUCAUUAUUUAAUAGGACUGUGUCAAAAGCCUACUAUUAGGAUGAUGUGUUGGGUGUGGAACAGGGUCUCUUCCUGCCAGGAACACUGGUGAUUUCACUCCGUGUUCAGGCUGAUCUUUGAAGUUGAAGACAAGCAGAAGAAUCCUUCUAAAAUUUAGCCAUGCCCAUAGGCUGGGAGGGACACUGCUCCAUUCAGAGGCAGCAAAGCACAUUACUGUAUCUCCUAUAGAGCUUUGAGCAGUCCAGUGUACAUGGAGAAACUUAGUAAAUGUUGUUGAAUUAGUGAAUGAACAAAUCAAUGGACCAAGUCAGGGGUAAGUCUUACAUUUGUCAUCUAGGUGAUUAAGAAAGGAAAAAGUAUCUGUUUCAAGAGGAUUACAAUCUAACUGUACUCCAAUAGUAAAAUUUACUCUUUUGGAAUCUGAAGACA
rnacentral:lncRNA from 1 species